CCAGGUUUGUUUGUGUGCCAUGGCAGUUUGGUAUCUCCAGAGCGACUGAGUCCAGUAACUCGAUGCAACAGAGUCCGAUCUUUCAAUCCAGAAUGCCAACUGAUUAAUAUGUUCUAUUCGAUGGAUGUGCAGUUAUGUACUGCAUUGGUUGUUCUUUGUGGAGGAGACGAGUGCCAGGCACCUUUAUUCAGCCAUAUUGAAGCCCCUCCCAUCCAUUAAUACUAUGCAAGAUGCAAAAUUCUUAAAUGUUUUAAAUGAAGGCCGAAGAGAACCAGUAAAGGAAGAUUUAAAGUAUGAAGGAGCAAUAAUAUGCCCCCACCAAUGUCUUUUCCUACUAAACUCAUCAAAACAAGUCACAGAGAAGCAAUGGGCAAAAUGUAUUCACUUUUUAAAAAUCUUCACUUAAUACAUGGUUU